rnacentral:rRNA from 1 species
GACGAACGCUGGCGGCGUGCUUAAUACAUGCAAGUCGAACGGAAAGGCCCUGCUUUUGUGGGGUGCUCGAGUGGCGAACGGGUGAGUAACACGUGAGUAACCUGCCCUUGACUUUGGGAUAACUUCAGGAAACUGGGGCUAUUACCGGAUAGGAGCUCCUGAUGCAUGGUGGGGGUUGGAAAGUUUCGGCGGUUGGGGAUGGACUCGCGGCUUAUCAGCUUGUUGGUGGGGUAGUGGCUUACCAAGGCUUUGACGGGUAGCCGGCCUGAGAGGGUGACCGGCCACAUUGGGACUAAGAUACGGCCCAGACUCCUACGUGAGGCAACAGUGGAGAAUAUGGCACAAUAGGCGGAAGCCUGAUGCAGCAACGCCGCGUGCGGGAUGACGGCCUUCGGGUUGUAAACCGCUGUCGCCUGUGACGAAGCGUGAGUGACGGUAAUGGGUAAAGAAGCACCGGCUAACUACGUG